GUUUUAUGUUUUAUGUUGUAUUGUAUAAACUUUGUGUGACGUGCUGCUGCUGCUGUCUUGGCCAGGACACUCUUGUAAAGGAGAUUUUUAAUCUCAAUGAGGCAUUUCCUGGUUAAAUAAAUAAAAAUAAAUUUACCCCACCACUCACACACCAUCUAUAUUCUAUGUCCCUGGAUCACAGACGGUGUGCAGCUGUUGGUCUGGAACUCGCCGAUGGACGUCGAGCUGACUCAACGUGGCGGUGAGAGCGUCGAGACUCUGCGGGACAAAGGUGCAGAAGAUCCUGAAAGGGAAACAUUUCAAAGCUGAAGCUCAACAACACUGUCAGUCCAAGGAGGUGGAGUAGCAGCCACCUCGUGAGACCAGGAAAGCUCAUCAAGACGGGGACCAGCAUUCUGAUGGAAUCGCAGACAGCCAUACCUGCUUGCAGUGGGAACUCAGAGGAAUGUGAUUCACUGUCAAACAUGCUUUUUUUGUAAAUGUUGUUUGAUUUGUAAGAGCUCCCAGACAAAUGCUA